rnacentral:lncRNA from 1 species
AUUUAAUUAAAAUAUUUGUAUAUAUAUAUAUAUAUAUAUAAUCCAAAAAAUUAAAUAAAAUUAAAACAAACACCUGUGAUUUUCACGCCGCCUCUGCCUCUUUCCUAUGACGCGCCCCGCUCGCAUCAUCCUGGAAUGAGCAAAAGUAAAAAAGCGCGAGAGGUCGUUAGAAACCUAAACCCUAAAGAGAAAUAGAGAGAGAGAACUAUAAAAGUUGAAUAGGCCUCAAUCAAAGAAAAAAGGGAAAAAAAAAACUAUUGUUCAGUUAAGGAAAAAAAAUAACUGUUGUGCAGUUAAGAAAAAAAAUAACUAUUGUGCAGUUAAGGAAAAAAAAAAUUAUUACUUUUAUUAUUUUAAUAUUUAAAAUAAGUAAAGCUUUUAUAUAUAAAAAAAUAUAUAUAUAAAAAAGAAGACCAAAUUUUACAAUAUUAAAAUAAUUUGAUAUGUAUGGUUAUAAUUUCUUCUAAUUAUUUAAAUAUUUGUAUAAUAAUUUAAUUAAAUUAGUUGGUUAUGAUUUCCUUUAAUUACUUAAAUAUUUGUA